ACCCCCAAAAUGGUGUCUGUACCAGUACCAAGUGACCUUUAUGCCUGACAUUGAGUCUAAACGUUUAAGGAUGGCAUUGCUGUUCAGCCACAGUGAUCUUCUAGGAACAAUCAGGGCAUUUGAUGGAGCUAUGUUGUUCCUUCCAAACAAACUGCAAAAUCAAGUUACAGAAGUGACAAGCAUGAUGAAUGAUGGUCAGAUGGUGAAUAUAACAAUUCUACUGACAAGUGAAUUUCCGCAGAAUUCUCCAAUGUGUGUCCAGUUCUUGAAUAUCGUCAUUAAAAAAGUUAUGAAAAUGCUGUCUCUGUACCAAAUUGGGCAGAACUUUUAUAACACGUCAACUCCAAUUCACAUUCCUCAACAUAGGUAUGUCAUUU